rnacentral:rRNA from 1 species
AUUGAACACUGGCGGCAGGCCUAACACAUGCAAGUCGAACGAGUGGCGGACGGGUGAGUAAUGUCUGGGAAACUGCCCGAUGGAGGGGGAUAACUACUGGAAACGGUAGCUAAUACCGCAUACCAUCGGAUGUGCCCAGAUGGGAUUAGCUUGUAGGUGAGGUAACGGCUCACCAAGGCGACGAUCCCUAGCUGGUCUGAGAGGAUGACCAGCCACACUGGAACUGAGAGACGGUCAAGACUCAUACGGUAGGAAGCAGUGGGGAAUAUUGCGAAAUGGGAGAAAGCCUGAUGCAGCAAUGCCGCGUGGAUGAAGAAGGCCUUCGGAUGGUAAAGUACUUUUAGGAGGGAGGCGUUACCCACAGAAAAAGCACCGGCUAACUCCGUGCCAGCAGCCGCGGUAAGAC